AACUGCGAUAAGUAAUGUGAAUUGCAGAAUUCAGUGAAUCAUCGAGUCUUUGAACGCACAUUGCGCCCCCUGGCAUUCCGGGGGCAUGCCUGUCCGAGCGUCAUUGCUGCCCUUCAAGCCCGGCUUGUGUGUUGGGUCGUCGUCCCCUCCGGGGGACGGGCCCGAAAGGCAGCGGCGGCACCGCGUCCGGUCCUCGAGCGUAUGGGGCUUUGUCACCCGCUCGAUAAGGACCGGCCGGGCGCCAGCCGGCGUCUCCAACCUUUUUUUCUCAGGUUGACCUCGGAUCAGGUAGGGAUACCCGCUGAACUUAAGC
rnacentral:misc_RNA from 1 species